AGUCCUGGUCUCCCCAGUUUUCCUUGUCUGUCAUUGAUGUUCGUUGGCGUGAGUAGAUGUUCCCCGUAUCUGUUUCCUGUCCACGAAUAAAUCCCCAGUAUUUCCCGACUUUGCCUACUUGCCUGUUCCUGCUCGCCUGCCGACCCGCACGAUCGCUGCUUCGCCCGACCGCGGUCGUGACACAGAUGAAAAGAACAGUGAUAUAUCAAAAGUGGAAUGGUCACGCAAGCAAUGCAAUGACGAGGACACACUGAAUUACGCUGCCCUGAACCUUAAGAAGCCAAAACCCAGGAGACAGAAGAAAGACAGGAAUAAUGACACUC